CAGGGCUCCAACGGGAACAGCAAUGCGAGAAAAAUAAACUUCAUUUGGUUGGGUUCCACCUGAGAAAAUGUGCAACUAAUGAACAAAAUCUGAAGUCCCACUGGUGCUCUACAAACCUAAUUACAUGUCACCUAAUUGCUCUGAGAUACUCUGUGUUUGCCUAUGAAACACUGCGACUUCACAACUACUCUUUGGGUUGCUCUGAAAAGUCACCACCAUACACAAACUACUGUCGUUGUGAUAAAGGAAAAUUAGUAUGACUGCAAUCCACUCUGUGCUACUUCAACUGUGCCGGAUUUCACCCCUCCAUGUGCCCAACUGACUCAACAGUACUGAAUUUUGGCUAAAAUUGAACUGCUAACAGAAGGUAGCAAGGAACAGAUAGAGGAUCUUCUGCCCACCUCAAGAAGGACACGCUGUGCUGGCUUCAGGUAUUCAAUUCUGGCUCUCAACGCACCAAAGUACAGUGGAAAUUCCCUACCUAUUUUUUCUCAAAGAUGAGGGCAGUGCUUUAAGCCUUUAUGGACAUUUUUCACAAGAUUUCAACAGAAGAGUUUAUUCAGGGGAGAAGAUAUUCAUGAGCGUGUCCAAAUUCUUGCCUGAGAUUGCAACAAUGCAUUACAAAAACAAGGUCUCCGCUUCUGAGUGCCUCCACCUCACUGGGACAGAGCAGAGAAAUGAUUCAGCAGAAAGGCUCAAUCCAACAACUCAAUGGUAGGCACAACCCAAUCCAACAACUCAACGGUAGGCACAGCCCAAUCCAA
rnacentral:lncRNA from 1 species